rnacentral:rRNA from 1 species
AGAGUUUGAUCCUGGCUCAGAACGAACGCUGGCGGCAGGCCUAACACAUGCAAGUCGAGCGCACCUUCGGGUGAGCGGCGAACGGGUUAGUAACGCGUGGGAACGUGCCCUUCACUGCGGAAUAGCCACUGGAAACGGUGAGUAAUACCGCAUACGCCCUUCGGGGGAAAGAUUUAUCGGUGAAGGAUCGGCCCGCGUCUGAUUAGAUAGUUGGUGGGGUAACGGCCUACCAAGUCUACGAUCAGUAGCUGGUUUGAGAGGAUGAUCAGCAACACUGGGACUGAGACACGGCCCAGACUCCUACGGGAGGCAGCAGUGGGGAAUCUUAGACAAUGGGCGAAAGCCUGAUCUAGCCAUGCCGCGUGAGUGACGAAGGCCUUAGGGUCGUAAAGCUCUUUCAGCUGUGAAGAUAAUGACGGUAGCAGCAGAAGAAACCCCGGCUAACUCCGUGCCAGCAGCCGCGGUAAUACGGAGGGGGUUAGCGUUGUUCGGAAUUACUGGGCGUAAAGCGCGCGUAGGCGGACUAUUAAGUCAGGGGUGAAAUCCCGGGGCUCAACCCCGGAACUGCCUUUGAUACUGGUAGUCUAGAGUUCGAGAGAGGUGAGUGGAAUUCCGAGUGUAGAGGUGAAAUUCGUAGAUAUUCGGA